CCUGCAUGUGUCCAUACGCUUGCAGCCAAUUUAGUUCUGUGAGUUUGUCCGUGGUUUAUGGCUAGAAUGACAUCUUAGUUUAACCCAUUCAACGGCUAAUGUUUCCAUUGAUAGAGUUAGAACUGUGUAGUCAGCGUUUCUGAGGUGUACAGCUUCUGCACUUGAGGAGUUGACGUCUCUAAGCGUGUAGGUAGAACGAUACUGUUCUCAUGUGUGUAUUCAUACGGCCUUUAAGACAUUGGAAUAUUUGGAGCGCAUGCAGUCAGAUGUACUGUCAAGUCUUCCCUAUCAUGUCAGUUUAAAGACAUAACAAAGGUAAUACAACUAUAGCAAUUCAUUGCGUAUGAGAGACACUAUGUCCUAAGGACUCCAUAUUGUCUUAAGGAUGUUCAUGUCAAGUUUCAAGAUUGGUCGAGCACUUUUUGAUUACAUAUUUACAUAUAAAUAACGUUCUGCUGUAUACAGGAAGAGACUCAGUUCUAUGUAAGUGAUGACGUUGAAUAUUAUUGUUUACAAGUAAAACAGCUGAUUGCAUUCAACCUAAACUAGACCAUUCCAUUCAACCUUUAUUAUGUGUUAUAUGGUUCAGCACCAUUAAGCUGUCUUCUGUGUAGAGAAUACAAAUACAAGACUACAUUAUAAACUCAUCAGAAGGUUGAAUGGAACGUGACCAAUGGAAGGAUCUGAUCUUUCUGACUAAAAAGACUCGCCUGGAGGUAUAAACUUGAUGUCCAACUGUUCAAAGAUUUCAUGAUUCAUGAGAUUAUCAUUUUUUUUUUAUUUCUUCGCUGUGUGCCAAUCUCAAUUACGCAGUCUUCUUCUGACCAAAAAAAAAUACGACUUAAACAUAUAGUCUUUUGAUCAGGUACGAGCUACUUUUUCUAGGCCCCUUACUGUGUCUGGGCUUCUUGCUAUGACUGUGAUCAUUGCAGACCAUCAGGGUGGAGGUGAGCUCAUAAAUGUUUAAGGUUUGAACCAGAUGUAUCACCAAUUGAAGCUAAUAAACGUUAUUUUGACAAAUCUUAUAGUAACACACUCUGUCUGUCUAUCUGUCUGUCUGGUCAAAAGUUUGUACACGCAUUUCUCCCGCACCUAAUCUCGAAUCAAGCUGAAAUUUUGCACAAUUAUUUCUUUUACAUGACAACACAAAAAUCAAUUAAAAAAAACAACAAUUAGUUAAUUAACUAUUGGCAAUUAAUUGUUUUGUUUGGUAUCUCGAACAAGGGAAAUAAAUUGUACUUGACUGAAGAGGUGGUAUCAGCUGAAUUAGUUUCCUUUACAGGUCGUCGUCUGAGGCUUAGUGAACACAAACAUGAAAUAGAAACAAUAGAUAACUAUACAAUCUUUCAUUGUCAUACGCUCUUCGCUAAAAGAGUGGCUACCACGUUGGCUUGAGAAGUCUAAGAAGGCUUUGGCCCACGAGCCGUUUAUUUCUAAAAAAAAAAAAUAGACAUAAAAACGAUCCCCCAGAUACCCCCCUUCUUUCUCCCCCACCCCCCUUUCCAACUGGUCCAGUGAUAGGCUCAGAACGUAGUGAGAACGCUGAAAGCAUAGAAUUGUGCUAAACAAAAAAUAAUUGGUCAAAAUAUUUCUAAUCGCACAGAUAUUGUAUAGUUAGUCUAGAAUAGUCUAGAUCUAUACCAAAUUUAACCAAAUGACUGAUCCAAUCUAAUUGAUACACUUACUAUAUUUUUUUUAUUUACAAAGCUCAUAUCAAAUCACUCUGUCUGUCCUAAAAAAAAUCCCGAAAGGUCAAAAUCCCAGUCUUCAUCGGAAUUCGAACACGCUCCCUCGGUUCGGAAGCCAAUCUUCUUACCACUCAGCCACCAAGAUCCCCUUUACAUGUGUGAGAUUGGCAAACACGUGGACAUUUCCACAGACUUCCUGAUAUCACUUACCUACAUACAGUUACAAGUUUGUUAUUUGCGCAUUAUACCUCCAUAUGCCUCCAAAGCUUAUUACCUAUAAACACUAGAGUACUUUGACAGUGAACCCGCUACAUGCAUUUAUAACGAGGUUCAUUGUAGUGCAUGACUGUGUUAGUUAGAAAUGUAAUACAUAGAUCAGACUCUGCACCGAGUUUCUCCUGCGCUAGGAUUUGUUUUUUGUUCUAAGCCUCUGAGGCUGAGGUUGAGAGUGUUAGUUCGUAUAAGAAUAAUUGACCGUACACACAAGCCAGUCGCUCAUUGACCUGUCUAACUUAAUCAAUGUCUUAAUGAAUCGCUCAUUAUGCACUAGGGUGCGGGGCGGCUCCAGCAUGACGGGGGUAAAAAGGGAUCGCCUUUGAUCACGGAAAGAAAUUCGUUUGUUCUAAUCAAGUUCAGGUGUGGUGUUUAAAUGAUCUGGAUUCUUUGGUGUGUGUGUGUUUUUUUUUCAUAGUAAACUCUAGGUUUUAAUGAACGAAAGGACAAAGUGUUGCAGAGAAACUAAGAGGAUGUGAUAUCGGAGAACAGAACGCCAUAUUGAAGUUGUAGGUGAUAUGGGUGCAGGGUGUGUGAACAGAACGCCCGCCAUAUUGAAGUUGUAGGUGAUAUGGGAGCAGGGUGUGUGAAAAGAACGCCAUAUUGAAGUUGUAUAUGUGAUAUGGGAGCAGGGUGUGUGAACAAAACGCCAUAUUGAAGUUGUGUAUGUACUAUGGGAGCAGGGUGUGUGAAAAGAACGCCAUAUUGAAGUUGUGUAUGUACUAUGGGAGCAGGGUGUGUGAAAAGAACGCCAUAUUGAAGUUGUAGGUGAUAUGGGAGCAGGGUGUGUGAAAAGAACGCCAUAUUGAAGUUGUGUAUGUACUAUGGGAGCAGGGUGUGUGAAAAGAACGCCAUAUUGAAGUUGUGUAUGUACUAUGGGAGCAGGGUGUGUGAAAAGAACGCCAUAUUGAAGUUGUGUAUGUGCUAUUCGAGCAGGGUGUGUGAAAAGAACGCCAUAUUGAAGUUGUAUAUGUGAUAUGGGAGCAGGGUGUGUGAAAAGAACGCCAUAUUGAAGUUGUGUAUGUACUAUGGGAGCAGGGUGUGUGAAAAGAACGCCAUAUUGAAGUUGUGUAUGUACUAUGGGAGCAGGGUGUGUGAAAAGAACGCCAUAUUGAAGUUGUAGGUGAUAUGGGAGCAGGGUGUGUGAAAAGAACGCCAUAUUGAAGUUGUGUAUGUACUAUGGGAGCAGGGUGUGUGAAAAGAACGCCAUAUUGAAGUUGUAUAUGUGAUAUGGGAGCAGGGUGUGUGAAAAGAACGCCAUAUUGAAGUUGUAGGUGAUAUGGGAGCAGGGUGUGUGAAAAGAACGCCAUAUUGAAGUUGUGUAUGUACUAUGGGAGCAGGGUGUGUGAAAAGAACGCCAUAUUGAAGUUGUGUAUGUACUAUGGGAGCAGGGUGUGUGAAAAGAACGCCAUAUUGAAGUUGUAUAUGUGAUAUGGGAGCAGGGUGUGUGAAAAGAACGCCAUAUUGAAGUUGUGUAUGUACUAUGGGAGCAGGGUGUGUGAAAAGAACGCCAUAUUGAAGUUGUGUAUGUACUAUGGGAGCAGGGUGUGUGAAAAGAACGCCAUAUUGAAGUUGUAGGUGAUAUGGGAGCAGGGUGUGUGAAAAGAACGCCAUAUUGAAGUUGUGUAUGUACUAUGGGAGCAGGGUGUGUGAAAAGAACGCCAUAUUGAAGUUGUGUAUGUACUAUGGGAGCAGGGUGUGUGAAAAGAACGCCAUAUUGAAGUUGUGUAUGUACUAUGGGAGCAGGGUGUGUCAAGAGAACAUAAGUACACUAUGAAUGUUAAGUAAGAUAUUUUAUUAGAAUAUGUUAUGCCAACAGAGUUGAUAAGAAAGGAGAUUUUGAAAAAACAACUGAGAUACUUGUGAAUGUUGAUUGUGAUAUUUGAGAAGAAAAUGUUAUGAGAACAAAUUAUGACAAGAGGACUGGUGUCUUAAAUGGAGCAUAAUGGGAUACCUAAUUUAAAAUUAUUGGUCAACUAUAUAACAUGGAAAUAAUACACGUUAUGUUACAGCCAGCGUAACAAAAGUAACAGAAAUUCUAGAAGUUAACAAGAAAAAUAUUUUUAAAAAUAAUUUUUACAAGAUUAAUUAUAUAACAAUAGUUAUAACAUUUAGUUUGGCUCAGUCAUGUGAUUAAAUUUGUAAUAGAUCUAGACUUCCAAUAAUAAAUCUGUGCGAUUAGAAAUAUGUUAGCAAUUGUUAUUGCUUAGCGCAAAUUUCAUGCUUUUAGCUUUCUCAAUCCUAUCAGUUGGCUGAACCAGUUGGGAAGGGGCGGGGUGAAGAAAGAAAGUGGCAGUUGUGUUAAUUUAACCGUGACAGCCUUUGAAAUGCAUAACAAAGAACGUGUUCACUCUAGGGUCAAGGGGACCAAUUCAACUUAUACCACCACAAGUGUCAAGUACGAUUUCUUUCCCUUGUUCGAUACCAAACAAAAUUAUUUAUUACCAAUACUUAAUUAACUAAUUGGGUAAUCUUUGAUCCGAGAUUGGGUGUGGGAGAAAUACCUAAUCUUUUACCAGACAGACUGAGUGAGUCGAUAUAAGUUUUGUAAGAAGACAAGCUCAUAGGACAAGGUCAUAUCAUAGUGACGUAGUUCAUCUAGAGAGCUUGAGAAUGUUGACAAAGUCAAGACAACCUUUCUAAACUAGUUAACCUCUGACCUUCUCUAUACUCAACUCACUGUUUUUGUUGAACAAAUUGCACAUUUUAUAACUGUCUAUGAGAGGGAGACUGACAGAGAGAAAGAGAAAAACACAGAGGGAGAGAGAGAGAGAGAGAGGAGAAACGGAAAGAGAGAGAGAGAGAGUAUGUGUUAUAUUUAUGUUUUUAUACUAAAACUAUGCAAAUGAGAGAGGUAUAGAAUAAGAUCCAUUAUUUCUUGACACAAAUAGAAAUUAUAUAUAUCUCUUUGUCCUCAUGGAUUCUCCUUGCAAUGAGAGAAAGACAUUUAUUUUGUACAUUUGACUUUCACUUACUUUCACUGUCUUAAUAAAGUUCUACUUGAUACCUAC